ACAUUGGAACUGAGACACGGUCCAAACUCCUACGGGAGGCAGCAGUGAGGAAUAUUGGUCAAUGGACGGAAGUCUGAACCAGCCAAGUAGCGUGCAGGAUGACGGCCCUAUGGGUUGUAAACUGCUUUUGUAUGGGGAUAAAGUUAGGGACGUGUCCCUAUUUGCAGGUACCAUACGAAUAAGGACCGGCUAAUUCCGUGCCAGCAGCCGCGGUAAUACGGAAGGUCCAGGCGUUAUCCGGAUUUAUUGGGUUUAAAGGGAGCGUAGGCUGGAGAUUAAGUGUGUUGUGAAAUGUAGACGCUCAACGUCUGAAUUGCAGCGCAUACUGGUUUCCUUGAGUACGCACAACGUUGGCGGAAUUCGUCGUGUAGCGGUGAAAUGCUUAGAUAUGACGAAGAACUCCGAUUGCGAAGGCAGCUGACGGGAGCGCAACUGACGCUUAAGCUCGAAGGUGCGGGUAUCAAACAGGAUUAGAUACCCUGGUAGUCCGCACAGUAAACGAUGGAUGCCCGCUGUUGGUACCUGGUAUCAGCGGCUAAGCGAAAGCAUUAAGCAUCCCACCUGGGGAGUACGCCGGCAACGGUGAAACUCAAAGGAAUUGACGGC
rnacentral:rRNA from 1 species